UCCCUGGUGGUCCAGUGGCUAAGACUCUGAGCUCCCAAAGCAGGGGGCCCAGGUUCCAUCCCUGGUUGGGGAG
rnacentral:tRNA from 1 species